rnacentral:rRNA from 1 species
UACGUAGGCAGCAAGCGUUGUUCGGAGUUACUGGGCGUAAAGGGCGCGUAGGCGGCCAACUAAGUCAGACGUGAAAUCCCUCGGCUCAACCGGGGAACUGCGUCUGAUACCGGAUGGCUUGAAUUCGGGAGAGGGAUGCAGAAUUCCAGGUGUAGCGGUGAAAUGCGUAGAUAUCUGGAGGAAUACCGGUAGCGAAGGCGGCAUCCUGGACCGAGAUUGACGCUGAUGAGCGAAAGCUAGGGGAGCAAACGGG